rnacentral:rRNA from 1 species
GACGAACGCUGGCGGCGUGCUUAACACAUGCAAGUCGAACGCUGAAGCUCAGCUUUUGUUGGGUGGAUGAGUGGCGAACGGGUGAGUAACACGUGAGUAACCUGCCUCCUUCUUUGGGAUAACGCCCGCAAACGGGUGCUAAUACUGGAUAUUCACUGGUCUUCGCAUGGGGGUUGGUGGAAAGGGUUUUUCUGGUGGGGGAUGGUGACGCGGCCUAUCAGCUUGUUGUUGGGGUGAUUGCCUACCAAGGCUUGGACGGGUAGCCGGACUGAGAGGGUGACCGGUAACAUUGGGACGGAGAUACGGCCACGAGAGGUACGAGAGGCGGAAGUGGGGAAUAUUGCGAAAGGGGGGCAAGGCUGAGGCAGCGGCGCGGCGUGAGGGAUGGGGGCCUUCGGGUUGUGAACCUGUUUCGAUAAGGGUGAGGCCGAAACAAUGGUUGUGGUGAGGGUAGUGGGUAAAGAAGCGCCGGCUAACUACGUG